rnacentral:rRNA from 1 species
AUUGAACGCUGGCGGCAGGCCUAACACAUGCAAGUCGAGCGGAUGAGAAGAGCUUGCUCUUCGAUUCAGCGGCGGACGGGUGAGUAAUGCCUAGGAAUCUGCCUGUAGUGGGGGACAACGUUUCGAAAGGAGCGCUAAUACCGCAUACGUCCUACGGGAGAAAGCAGGGGACCUUCGGGCCUUGCGCUAUCAGAUGAGCCUAGGUCGGAUUAGCUAGUUGGUGAGGUAAUGGCUCACCAAGGCGACGAUCCGUAACUGGUCUGAGAGGAUGAUCAGUCACACUGGAACUGAGACACGGUCCAGACUACUACGGGAGGCAGCAGUGGGGAAUAUUGGACAAUGGGCGAAAGCCUGAUCCAGCCAUGCCGCGUGUGUGAAGAAGGUCUUCGGAUUGUAAAGCACUUUAAGUUGGGAGGAAGGGCAGUAAGUUAAUACCUUGCUGUUUUGACGUUACCGACAGAAUAAGCACCGGCUAACUCUGUGCCAGCCGCCGCCGUAACAC